UACGUAGGGUGCGAGCGUUGUCCGGAAUUACUGGGCGUAAAGAGCUCGUAGGUGGUUUGUCGCGUUGUCCGUGAAAACUCACAACUCAAUUGUGGGCGUGCGGGCGAUACGGGCAGACUGGAGUACUGCAGGGGAGACUGGAAUUCCUGGUGUAGCGGUGAAAUGCGCAGAUAUCAGGAGGAACACCGGUGGCGAAGGCGGGUCUCUGGGCAGUAACUGACGCUGAGGAACGAAAGCGUGGGUAGCGAACAGG
rnacentral:rRNA from 1 species